ensembl:lncRNA
CUUAUGUGUCAGACGUUCUAGCCAAAGUGGUAUUGCCAGACAGUGUUCUUGAAGCAACAUAUAGUAAAAGAAAAACUUUUUUUUUUCUCUUAUCCCUCUUUUUUAGGAAAAAACUAAAGGAGAUUUAGUGAAUUGAGGAGACAACUGGAGGUGGUUUAAAAGGAUGGAGUGCAAAGAAAGAGCCAAUGACACUUAAGCGGCCAAGUAGUUUACAAGCAUUAAGGCCAGCGGUUCUCCAAAUAUAUUCUCCUGAAUAUGUGUGUUUUGGAGAUAAGAGGACCCAACGAUUCCAUUGCCAGCAAAUGGAAGACUCCAAGAUUUUAAUAGCCCAUCAAGUUGAAUUAACACCUUUGAUAAAAGUUGUUAGAAAACUGAUACUAAGAAGAUUGCCCCAACUCUCAAAGAUGAAUCAAGGGAGUACCAACGUUUUCUUUAAAAACUAACGAGUCUUAUAGACUCUGUGGGAGAGGGAGAGGGUGGGAAGAUGUGGGAGAAUGGCAUUGAAACAUGUAAAAUAUCAUGUAUGAAACGAGAUGCCAGUCCAGGUUCGAUGCACGAUACUGGAUGCUUGGGGCUAGAGCACUGGGAUGACCCAGAGGGAUGGUAUGGGGAGGGAGGAGGGAGGAGGGUUCAGGAUGGGGAACACAUGUAUACCUGUGGCGGAUUCAUUUUGAUAUUUGGCAAAACUAAUACAAUUAUGUAAAGCUUAAAAAUAAAAUUUAAAAAAUACUUUAUUGUUAAAUAAAU